UCUUUUCAUCAACACAGAUAUCCUGGGCGAACUGUUUUUAUUAUUAUACCUACUUAGUUAUUUAUAGUUGCUAGGGAAAAUAAAGAAUUUAUUUUGUCGUCAGUUACAUUUGUGACAGUCUUGGAAUAGUGAAAAUUUAUUUGUUGAAUUGAAGAUUUUUCUCCCAAAAUGGUUUACACACUAGCCGAAAAAGUGAAAAUUAUUCUAAUUUAUGGUGCCCAAAAUUAAUGUGCUCGGCAAACUACCGUCACGUUUAACGCCGGACAUCCGGAGAUGAUAACUUCGCAUAGGUUCUCUAGCUUUAUCACAAUGUCAAAAAGGAAAGAGAGAGAAAAAGACAAGGCAGAAAACAAAUUUAUUGUGUCCUAUGACCUUCAAGCAACUCUACCCUCCCCUCUUGGAAAUGCCUCCUCCUUCUACUAUACAAAGUUAAAUGUAUACAAUUUGACUUUUGUCAGCUCUACAAGAAAUGAUGUUGUGUGUCAUGUUUGGCAUGAGGGUGAGGCAAAUAGCGGAGCUAAUGAAAUUGGCUCAUGCAUCUGGAACUAUCUUAAUGGACUAAAGGAAAAAGCAUUCCUUGAAAAAAAUAAAAUGAUUGAUGUAACAUUUUAUACAGACAAUUGCUAAAAAUAAAUUUUUAUUUGAAUUUUACCUGUACGCUGUAUCAGUACUGCCACAUAUUAGUUCAAUAACUCAUAAGUACCUAAUUAGGGGACAUACCUAAAAUGAUGCUGAUAACUUACACUCAGUGAUUGAAAAACAAAUUAUGAGAUAUAAGAAGUCUGCAGCUAUCUACGCACCUGAUCAGUAUGUGACAUUAAUAAGGCAAGCCAAAAAAACUGGGCAACCCUAUGUAUUGUACUAUAUAGUUGAUUUUAUUGAUUCAAGAAAAGAAAAGAAAGGAAGAACAAAAAAAGGAAGGAAAGGGGGGAGAAAGAAAAAAAAAGAAAAAAGAAAUGUAAAUUUUAACUGUUUAACUUUGAUUCGUCAUUGUAACUUGUAUUUUUAAAUAUAAUUUUAACCCUGUAACUCUGUCUCUUUAGGAUUAGGUGAAGCUUUGUUUAUAACAAUAUUUUGUUCAAACAAUAAAGCAUAUUUGAAUUUGAA